rnacentral:rRNA from 1 species
AGGGAAAGCUGGCGGCAGGCCUAACACAUGCAAGUCGAACGGUAACAGGAAGAAGCUUGCUUCUUUGCUGACGAGUGGCGGACGGGUGAGUAAUGUCUGGGAAACUGCCUGAUGGAGGGGGAUAACUACUGGAAACGGUAGCUAAUACCGCAUAACGUCGCAAGACCAAAGAGGGGGACCUUCGGGCCUCUUGCCAUCGGAUGUGCCCAGAUGGGAUUAGCUAGUAGGUUGGGUAACGGCUCACCUAGGCGACGAUCCCUAGCUGGUCUGAGAGGAUGACCAGCCACAUUGGAACUGAGACACGGUCCAGACUCCUACGGGAGGCAGCAGUGGGGAAUAUUGCACAAUGGGCGCAAGCCUGAUGCAGCCAUGCCGCGUGUAUGAAGAAGGCCUUCGGGUUGUAAAGUACUUUCAGCGGGGAGGAAGGGAGUAAAGUUAAUACCUUUGCUCAUUGACGUUACCCGCAGAAGAAGCACCGGCUAACUCCGUG